rnacentral:lncRNA from 1 species
ACGAGAGAGGUUGUGUCUUGUGCUUCCAGUCCAGUUGUGGAGCCUGGGUUUUAGAAUUUAGUGGAUGUCCUAUUCAUCUGUGUUGUGGAAAAGGGCAGAGUAGUAAUUCAUGUUUUUAUUCUGAAAGAGAAUUUAUGAUUAUGAGGGUAUCUUAGAGAAUUCAUAUUGCUGAAAUUUCUUAGAAUUCUUUCCAUGUUAAAGGUUCAUAUUUUACCGAAAUAAUUCUUGGAUACCUUCAUUUAACAGUGCUCUUCAUUCUGGUUUAUAUUUAGGAAGCUCUUCAUUUGUUUUAACGGUUAUCACCCUAUCAUACAACUGUGUGUGAUCUGGCACUUCCAUUCUCCCUCUUAGAAUUUAGACUCCCCACACACUGGCAAGAAAGAAGUCUGGAAAGGAAUUCUAAGCUAUGCAAAACAAGUCACUGAUUUAUUUCACUUACACCUAGCUUAGAAGUCAUUCAUCUUCAUUUUUCACAUUAACCUUUGUAAUUCUUUUACAUUUCCUAAAAUUUCUAAUCUAUAAUUUGGGAACCAUUAUCUUAUAAAUGUUUGAAUACGGAUGCAUAGUAACUCAUCACUCCUCUGUGAGAGUUUCUCACAGAGCUCCAUUAAUUUAGUGAAAUUUUUAUGGUCAAGGGUCUGGCUUUCUGAUUGGAAAUCCAGAAACUAACAUGUGAAACUACUUCCUGACAUUGGAAAAUAAACUGGGUUUCCAAACUGUUAACUUAAAACAAGGUAUGUAUGUAACUUUUAAGUGCAUGGGAUGCUUGCUUUGGCCUGACUAGUGCAUCCUUACUCUUCUAGAAAGCUAUCUGGGAAUCUAAAUCAGAAGUUUGGCUGAUGUCACAUCAUCAUGGCAAGGAGAGCUAUAUUCUUCAAGUGUUCGAAGGAAACAGGAUGGGGUGUGCCUGGCAGGAUAUACCUGUCAGUAAGGGGUGUAUCUGCCAGACACCACCAUCUGCUUCUCAGGGCAGCUUCUUCGUGGCUAGGAGUUAGCGGAAUAAUGCUGUCAGUGUAUGUCUCUAAUUCCUCUAGUGCACCUCUCCCAGACUCUCUUCUGCUUGGCUUUCUCAUUAAUGUUAGCACACAUUUAUAGUCAAAACCUUCUUCCAUCCCGGCAGCUUGCUGCCCACCAUGGUGUUGUACAUACCUAACCAUAACCAUGUGUUGAUUUUAAUAUUUAAUGCCGAGGCUUAAUGGAAGGAAGAGUACCUAAUCAUGAUCCUCAGUUGUGACUGAGUGUAACCUCAGAUUUAGAAAAUAUCGGUCUUGGAGUUCCCGUCAUGGCUCAGUGGUUAACGAAUCUGACUAGGAACCACGAGGUGCAGGUUCGAUCCCUGGCCUCGCUCAGUGGGUUGGGGAUCUGUGGUGUAGGUCACAGACGCCGCUUGGAUUAAUGUUGCUGUGGCUGUGGUGUAGGCCGGUAGCUGUAGAUCCAAUUCAGCCCCCAGCCUGGGAACCUCCAUAUGCCGUGGGUGGUGCAGCCCUUUAAAAAAAAAAAAGAAAAUAUAGGUCAAGGUACUUAACAUUCAUCUUUACAACUAUCCAAGCAACAUUCCCAGCUUUUAAAAACCAGUAUAAGAAAAUUAUCUUUUUAGAUGCUAAAAGUGAAAAUUUUCUUUUUCUAGAAGUUAUGUGUAUGACCCUUGAAAAAAUGUAAAAGAAUUAGGCCCUCUCAUUCAGAAUCUCAAAAAGCAAUUCAAUCUAGGAAACUUGCAGUUUCCCAGAAAGGAUACAGUGUCCGGCAAGUAAGGCGAGUGCAGGAAUUGAUUAUGCGUCACCUAGUGACAGAGAGCAGAUGUUUUGUGAAUCUUUCCCUUAAGAAAUAAUUGUCAGAGGGAGGCAAUGAUUGAGUUGAUGCUGAUUGAGAUAGAGAUGAAGGGAUAUAGAGAAUCCUUUGAGACAUCCACAGACAGGGGAGAGGUUCCAGGGUAUAAUCUGAGGGGAAGAAUUGUUGCAGGUAGCAGAGACUAUUAGCAGGAGACAUGGAGAGGUACAGAGGGUUGAAUCGGAGCUGUAGCUGCCAGCCCUACGCCACAGCCACAGCAACACCAGAUCCCAGCCGCAAAUGCCACCUUCACCACAGCUCACAGCCACACCAGAUCCUUAACCCACUGAGCAAGGCCAGGGAUUGAACCCAAAUCUUCAUGGAUCCUAGUCAGGUUCAUUACCACUGAGCCACAACAGGAACUCCAGAAUAUUCUAGAACAGAAUUUUCAAAGCAUGCCAUCUCAGCAAAUAUUAUCAAGUGUGAAAAGUUACAUGGCAAUUGCCAUGUACUAGGCACUUGUUGAAGAUACUUUGUCCACAUGCUCCUCCCAACAACCUUAUUAGGAAUGUAAAAUUGUUAUUUUUUGCAUUUCCACAAAUGGAAAAGUUAGGCACAGAAAGUUAAGUAGUUUGCCCGUUAUGAUGCAGCCAUUCCUUAAUGGAUAGAACAUGAAGGCAGGUGGCCAUUUGGUGUUGCUAACCCCAAACUACCUGCGUGAAAACAAAUAGUAUCCAUGUAAGAACAAUAUCCAUACUGUGUAUAUGUGCUGUGUAUAGGGUGCUUCAAGAAACACCCUUGUUCCCAAUUCCAACCAGGAUGUUUCCUUUCAUUUUCUCCCACGUAGAUGUCCUAGAGCCUCUCCUGGAGGAAAGUGAGGGUGUGGCUCUGAGAACACUAGCAGGCAUUAGCAAGAGUAGGGGGGGGGUACCAGAUGGGAACAGGAAAUUGGGGAGCCCCUAAUUUCCCCGGGGGAGGCAAGGAGGCUGUCACAGAACAGAAACUUGGUUGAACUUCCAAAAUCACAUCAAGUGAACUACCUAAACUUAUUAAAUAUAAAUCUUAGUUCCACCUGCUGUGUUCCAGGCUAGAAAUUGUCAGGUUUGGGAGUUCCCGUUGUGGUGCAGCAGAAAUGAAUCCGACUAGUAUCCAUGAGGAUAUGGGUUCAAUCCCUGGCCUCACUCAAUGGGUUCAUGAUCCAGCGUUGCCAUGAGCUGCGGUGUAUGUCACAAACAAGGCUUGGAGCCCAAGUUGCUGUGGCUGUGGCCGGCAGCUGUAGCUGGGAUUUGACCUCUAGCCUGGGAACUUCCAUAUGCCUUUUUUUUUAGGGUGCAGCCCUAAAAAAACAAACAAACAAAAAAACCACCAGUCAUGUUUUCAGUGAGAUACAAAAGAAACACAAUAGAAAGAUCCCAGCCCUUUGCUAUAUAGUUAAAUUGAAAUGGCUCUUCAAUUCCUCAUCUCAUACACACCCUUCACUACUAAAUCUGAUGCCUUCCACUCCCCGGACCCUCCUGCACCCUAAACUUCCAUUAUUUUAUUGUUACAUAUGUGAACCAAUCUUUAGAGAGAUUCUAGUAGGGGCUCAACUGACUUUGCCAAAUGACACCUUUUUGACCCUAAAUUAUUUUUUAUUGCGAUGCCUGACCACACUUCAACUUUUGUCCCACAGUAUCUUAAAGAUGUUAUGGCCCCUUGCAGAAGUGAAAGUAAUUCAACUAGAGCCAGAUAGGGGAGAAAGAGGACAGUGGGUGAAAGUAAGACGCCAAAUAACCACCUGGAAUCUAUUGAGUAUCUGUACUGUGCCAUGUGCUAUGCCCUCUGCUAAGAACAGGGCCGUGUUGAUGGAAAGUAAAGGACUGCUCUUCAACUCUUCAAGGAGCUCACAGUUUAGCUCAGACGACUAAAUUCGGUUAACCCCUGAACAACAUGGGUUUGAACUGUGCAGGUUCACUUAAUAUGCAGAUUUUUUUCAAUACAAUUCGCCUUUGGUAUCUGCAGAUGUGGAAACUGCAGAUAUGAAGGUCUACUACCGGCCUUGAGUGUGGUGGAUUUUGGUAUCAUUGGCAGGUCCCUGAACCAAUCCUCCGCGAAGCCGAAGGGAUGCCUGUAAUUAGAUAACAGGUCAGAUGGCGUUACGUGCUCUGAAAGGAUGUCCAACGUGUUUUAAAAAUCAAAAUGGAUAUUUGUUUUUCUCCUUGAAAAGAAAUGCCUUGUUGUUCAGACACACAGAGCACAGCAUUUAUUUCUAAAACAAAUAUACUAAUUACAAAGAGUCAAAAACUAUAGAAAUUAUAAAACAGAAACUUGCUAAAUUCUACCAUUCAUAGAAAACCACUCUUAUAAAUGCUGAGGUGUAUUCUUUUCUGCAUAUACUCACAUCUUUUUGCAAAAAAUGAACUCAAAUCACACAUGAUAUUUUGCUGUCUCCUGUGUUUUACUGAAUGAUUUCUAAGACCCUCUCUCUCUUUGAAGGGUAUAGAAUGACGUCAUCACGUAUAACGGCUGGUAUCGUUGUAUGACAGCAGUUACUUAUUUCACUCAUCCAGAUUAGACCUUCAUGUGUUUUCUAAUUUUUGUUAUUACUAUUGUAAAUACUUCUUCUUGAGAUGAAAAUUAUUCAAGUAUUGCUGGAUCUCAAGGUACCAUGCCAUUUAAAGUACCUGACAAGGCCUUAUCCUUUUUUUUUUUUUUUCCCUUUUUUCAUCAGAAACUUUUAUUUCAAGUUAAAGUAUUUGGAGCAAAUCUGAUGUCUACUUUGGAGCUAUAUUUCUUCAUACAUUUGUUUUUUAAAUUUUGUAUGAUUGUUAUUGUUUUUAUUAUAGUUGAUUUAGUGUUCUGUCAAUUUCUACUGUACAAUAAAGUGACCCAGUUCUUUUUCUCACAUUAUCCUCCAUCAUGUUCCAUCAAAAGUGACUGGAUAUAGUUCCCUGUGCUAUAUUCUUAUUCUAGCUCCCUGAAUUGUGCACAUCAAGGGCAUGGAGAAAAUAGGGAUUUCUGAGAAAGGGUCUUGUCAGCUCAUCCCCUUCUUUAUUCUAAAAAAAUGAAAUAUAUGCUAACCCUUUCACCAGAUUUGGUUCCUCAUAAACAUUGAAAAUGUGCUCAUACCUGUCAGAGAAGUGUUUUCCUGCAGCUGAAUCAGUGAUUUUAUCUAAAGUCAACAAAAUAUUCUAUUAUGUACGCCUGUAGGUUAGGAAUAGGACAAAAUGAUCGAUAUAUUGUAAUCAGUGUAUGUGUAAGUUAUUGAUGUAUUGACUAAAUUUAGAAGUUGCGAAGUGGUGACUGGUCUUUAUUGAAUAUGCUUAUGGUAUAAAAUGCUAUUACAAAUGUUGGCGAGUUUAGUAAUGCUCUAAUAGGAGAUUAAAACUAAUUCCAGUUAUCUUCUUUACCUAAAUAUAGUGUUAGGAUCCUUGAAUUGAAAGGUGCAAAAUUUGCUUUGUCAGAUUAUUCACAUUAUUUAUAGUAUUUUAAUCUAAGUGCUUCUUUAAUGAAUAAAUGAAGAACUGUAUCAUUCUCUAUCAUUCUUUGGCACCUGCAUGUAGGAGAAAAAAAAACUUCUGUAUGAGACAGAGAAGCAGCUUAUAUAUUCUAAAGGAACCAAGGUGGAGUGGAGAGGGAGGAGCUCAGAAAAAUCAAGAUCUUUCCUCAAAUUACCUGAACCACUCUUCUGCAAAACACUUGUCCUAUUUACACUGUUAAGUGGUAGGCUCUCAGGGACAGGAUCUGCAGUGGCAGAGGAAGUAGAGAUUUGAAUUGUCUCUAUUUUUGGAGGGAUCAGAACCCACUGCUGAGGCGGGGGGCGGGGGUGAUACUCGGAAGUAGAGAUUGCAAGUUAAGUUUUCACCCUGAGUUUUACAGUAAAGGUUAAAAGUCAGUUGUCCACAGCUUAUUAUUUGAGAUGAGGGAAAAAUUAAAUGGUUAGACAUAAAUAUAAAGUUAAUGCUUCUAACUAAAAAAAAGAGAGAAGAACUUGGAGUGAUAGGAAAGGUUCAGUUGGUGAGAUACUGCUGAGUAUUUCUCUGCAUGCUAAGUCCAUGUUGAAUGAAUGAGUGAUGUUUCAUGGUGCUGAGAGGGGAUAGUGGGUUUGAGAACCUGAAACUGAAUCUUCCUCUAAGUGUGGAUGUUCAGCUUUUGAAGGAAUAGAUCCAGAACAUGGAAGAAGAGUAAGGUAAGCUUAGUUUAGGGGAGAACAAAUAAGGAAAAAAUAAGCUCAGAGAGGAAGAGAGGAGAGAAUGAAAUAAUUACAAUGAAAACCCUGUGUGGGGAGUUCCCUUCAUGGCUCAGUGGUUAACAAACCUGACUAGGAUCCAGGAGGUUGCUGGUUCGAUCCCUGGCCUCGUUCAGUGGGUUAAGGAUCCUGUGUUGCCCCGAGCUGUGGUGUAGGUCACAGAUGCACCUCAGAAGUAGCUCCGAUUCAACCCCUGGCCUGGAAACUUCCAUAUGCCACGGGUGCGGCCCUAAAAAGCAAAAAAAAAAAAAAA